rnacentral:rRNA from 1 species
GAUGAACGCUAGCUACAGGCUUAACACAUGCAAGUCGAGGGGAAACGACAUCGAAAGCUUGCUUUUGAUGGGCGUCGACCGGCGCACGGGUGAGUAACGCGUAUCCAACCUGCCCAUCACUUGGGAAUAACCUUGCGAAAGUAAGACUAAUACCCAAUGACAUCCCACGAAGACAUCUGAAUGGGAUUAAAGAUUUAUCGGUGAUGGAUGGGGAUGCGUCUGAUUAGCUUGUUGGCGGGGUAACGGCCCACCAAGGCAACGAUCAGUAGGGGUUCUGAGAGGAAGCUCCCCCACAUUGGAACUGAGACACGGUCCAAACUCCUACGGGAGGCAGCAGUGAGGAAUAUUGGUCGAUGGGCGAGAGCCUGAACCAGCCAAGUAGCGUGCAGGAUGACGGCCCUAUGGGUUGUAAACUGCUUUUAUAAGGGAAUAAAGUGGGUCUCGUGAGACUUUUUGCAUGUACCUUAUGAAUAAGGACCGGCUAAUUCCGUG